rnacentral:rRNA from 1 species
CCCUUAGAUGUUCUGGGCCGCACGCGUGCUACACUGAGUAAAUCAAUGGGUAAGGGAACACGAAAGUGCAACCUAAUCUUGAAAUUUGCUCGUGAUGGGGAUCGACGGUUGCAAUUUUCCGUCGUGAACGAGGAAUACCUUGUAGGCGCGUGUCAUCAUCACGCGCCGAAUACGUCCCUGCCCUUUGUACACACCGCCCGUCGCUCCUACCGAUUGAGUGAUCCGGUGAGGCUCUGGGACCUGGACGGAAAGAGCGUUUCGCUUGUUCUGCUCGGAAAACUCAGUCGAACCUUAUCAUUUAGAGGAAGGAGAAGUCGUAACA